GAACUUUGGUCUUCCUGAUGAUGAUUGUCGGUUCAAAGUCCUUGCAGGUUCUUCUUACCAUGACAACCAAUCUACAAGCUGGUGCAAGUGAAACUCAGUAUCCUUUGAUGGACAAGCAAAAGACCCAGUUUCAGGAAACUGGUACAUGUACAACAGUGAGACUGGGUAAUGGAAAUGGAUGAGUGAUGGAUAGAAACUACUGGGAAUUAC